rnacentral:lncRNA from 1 species
UGGGAUCACAAGCGUGAGCCAUGACACCAGGCCGAUCUAUUCCUGUCUGAUUAAAAAUUGGGCCGGGCGUGGUGGUUAACGCCUGCGAUCCUAACACCCAGGGAGGCCAAGGCGGUCGGAUAACCUGAGGUUGGAGUUUGAGACCAGCCUUAUGAACAUGGAGAAACCCCAUCUCCAACAACAAAAACAAACAAACAAAAAACAAAAUGAGCUGGGCAUGGUGGCUCACGCUGCAAUCCCAGCCACUCGGGAGGCUGUGGCAGGAGAACCACCCAAACCCGGGAGGCGGAGGCCCGUUGAGCCAAGACCUCACCACUGCACUCCAGCCUGGGCAACAAGAGCCAAUCUCCGCCUCAAAACAAAAAGUGAUCGGGUUUCACCAUGUUGCCCAGGCAAGUAUGGAACGAACUCCUAGGCUCAAGCGAUCCGCCGCGCUCAGCCGUCCAAAUUCCUGGGAUCAUAAGCGUGAGCCACCAUGCAAGGCCGAUCUAUUCCUUUCUGAUUAAUAAACUGGGCUGGGCGCGCUGGCUCACGCCUGCAAUCCCAGCACCCCCAGAGGCCGAGGAGGCGGGUGGAUAACCUGAGGUCGGGAGUUUGAGACCAGCCUGAUGAACAUGGAGAAACCCUGUCUGUACCAAAAAAAAAAAGAGAAGAGAGACCGGGUUUCACCAUGUUGCCCAGGCCGGUGUGGAACUCCUAGGCUCAAGUGAUCGAUCCCCCGCGCUCGGCCGUCCGACGUCCUGGGACCACAAGCGUGAGCCACCACGCCAGGCCGAUCUAUUCCUUUCUGAUUAAUCAGUUGGGCUUUGUGUGCUGGCUCACGCCUGCAAUCCCAGCACCCCCGGAAGCCAAGGCGGGCGGAUAACCUGAGGUCCUGAGUUUGAGACCAGCCUGACCAACAGGUGGAAACCCUGUGUGUACCAAAAAAAAAAAGAAAAAAGAAAAUUAGCCAGGCAUGGUGGCUCACACCUGCAAUCUCAGCCAUUAGGGAGGUUGAGGCAGAAGAACCAUCCAAACCCAAGAGGCGGAGGCGGCGGGGAGCCGAGACUGCACAACUGCACUCCAGCCUGGGCAACAAGAGCGAAACUGCGCCUCAAAAACAAAAAAAACAAAAAAAACGAGAGAGACCGAGUUUCACCAUGUUGCCCAGGCCUGUCUGGAUCUCCUAGGCUCAAAUGAUCCCCAGUGCUCUGCCAUCCAAAGUCCUUGGAUCACAAGCGCGAGCCACCAAGCCAGGCCCAUCUAUUCCUCUCUGAUUAAUAAAUUGGCCUGGGCUGCGGUGGCUCACACCUGCAAUCCUGUAGCGGGAUUUUUAAGGAAUUAGAUAGACUCAUGGGAUUUAGGAGAACAUUUAUUAAUUAUUUAGGUGCACCCGCCCAGUCGGAUUAACAUUUAAAGGAUUGAGUACUGAACCAAGAGUUACCUUUCAAGCAUUAUGUGGGGCGAAGGGGGAGAUCUGUGCAGGGAGAAGCAUAUUAUAGAAGCGAGAAACAAAGAUACUUAUUUAAUUGAAACAUACAUUAUAUUAUUUUUUACUAUUUAAGGAAAAAUAUGUUUUGUGACUUGAGUUUAUUUAGUGACCUUGCAGUUGCACAGUUAGGGAAUUAGUCGGGCAUGGUGGCUCACACCGCAAUCCCAGCCACUCGGGAGGCUGUGGCAGGAGAACCAUCCAAACCCGGGAGACGGAGGUCCCGCAAGCCGAGACCUCGCCACUGCACUCCAGCCUGGGCAACAAGAGCAAAUCUCCCCCUUAAAAAAAAAAAAUGUGACUGGGUUUCACUAUUCUGUCCAGGCCGGUCUGGAACUCCUAGGCCCAAGCGAUCUGGCGCUUGAUGUCUUUAACCUGUGAUUGAAAGCAUAUUAAGAUCUUGGGUGUAUCAACAGUCCAGAGGUCAAGAAGGAAACUCCUGGAAUGUGAAAUAUUCUGCAACAAGAAAGGCAAUUGGAGAGGUGACUACAUUCACUGCAGUUGUUUUGCCCUCUUCUUUCUCCUCUCUCUCUUUCCUGGAAGUCCCCUAGUACAAAGUAAAAGAGAUAAUGGUUUUGGAGUGCAUGUUUUUCCUGGAAUUGGAAGGAAUUUUAACAAAGGAGCCCUUCACAAUGAAACCCCCCCACACCCCUGCUUUUCACCUGAAGUAGGACAAGAUCGGCGCCCCCACCAUCAUUCUCCACGUGACCCCAGGUGGGGAUGGGGGGUGGACACUACUGAUAACCUCUUAGCAAUUUCCUUCUUUAUGGACUCUGAAGCUCCUUAGCUUGACAACUGAUGAAUAAGUUUUCUUUUGUGGGAUAAGAGUAGAUAAGAAUUUUCCCCCUGAAUUCCCGUCCUCGGGCCAGGGAAGAGAGCCCAGGAUCCCUUCUCUUGGCCUUCACACUGCGGGAAAGAGUACCUAGAGUUAAAAGCCUGAUAAAUGCCCUCAAACAGCUUUGAAAAUCACGAGGUCAGGAGAUCGAGGCCAUCCUGGCUAACACGGUGAAACCCCGUCUCUACUAAAAAAAAAAAAAAAAAUACAAAAAAUUAGCCGGACAUGGUGGCAGGCGCCUGUAGUCCCAGCUACUGGAGAGGCUGAGGCAGGAGAAUGGCGUGAACCCAGGAGGCGGAGCUUGCAGUGAGCGGAGAUCGUGCCACUGCACUCCAGCCUGGGCGACAGAGCGAGACUCUGUCUCAAAAAAAAAAAAAGUGAUUAUUAUAUACUUUAUUUCAAAGAUGAAAUGUAUGACCAUACAGCAAAAUAAAAUUGGGAUAAAAAAUAACCUGAAAAUCAGGAAACAGGAGAAACAGUCUAAACAUUUAGUUUUGUGGUCUUGCCUAAUUAUUUUUCUUAUGGUCAAUAAGGAAUAAUUUAUAAUGACCUUAUUCCUGAGUACCUGGAGACUUCUAAGAAGUUUUUAAGAAUAGUUUUAUGUUGAAGAAUCAUACCACGAAAUACUUCCAAGAUAUAUCUGUGUUGCCAUCCUAGUUACUAUAAACCAGAGAAAAAUAUUUUAAUUACUCUUUUUAAUGAAUAUGUACAAAAAUGCUUCAUUAUAAAUCUAGAAUAUAGGAAUAUGUUCAGUAAUUGAUUUUUGCAAAAGUCUGUUAUUAUUAUUUUUCCCUAAAGCAGGGAGAGAACUGUAGCUUCAUAAUCUGAGAUAUCAGGUAAGGAAGUCCUCCCCUAUUCUUUCUUAAGGAAUAAACUUUUUAUAUUCCUCUCUCCAGUCUCUCAGAGACAGCAUCAAAUAACUCCCCUAUCCUCUGUUGGCUCCAUCCUCGGGGGCGAGUGCUAUUUCACAUCUUACUCUUAAAUCACUUUUAAGAAAUAGACAUAGCUUCCACCAAAGAGGAGCCCUCCCAACAGACCUCUAAUAACACCAAAGGGUUUCCAUGUGUGCGCCCUUAAGUGAACAUACACAAAUGAAAUGAAUCUACAGAUUGGUUAUGAAGCCAGUUUUUAUGUGACACAUGAAUAUCAGUCAUAUUAGACACACUCCUGCCGAGUACUGUAACAAAUCUCUUCAUUUUUACCACAUACAUGAAUAGCUGUCCCAUAUAUUCAUAAAAUAUAAGAAUUUUUUUCUUGAUUAAUAAACUUCAUUUUUUAGAGUAGUUUUAGACUCACAGCAAAACUGAGUGGAAAGUAGAAGAGUUCCCAUAGACUCCCUACUCCCAUACACACACAGCUUCCCCCACUGUCAACAUCCUGCACCAGAAUGAUGCAUUUGUUAUAAUCGAUGAACCUACACUGACGCAUCACUAUCACCUAGAGUCCAUAGUUUACAUUAGGGUUCGAUAAAAUAAUUUUUUACAACUUAAAUCCCCCAAUAAACUUAACAUUACUUCUCUGGGCCAUACGUUUUUCUGCAUCAGUAAAAUGGGAUAAGAAUAUUUAUUUGGAGCUGGGAGUGGUGGUGCAUGCCUGUAGUCUCAGCUUCUUGGGAGGCUGAGGUGGGAGGAUUGCUUGAGCCCAGGAGUUUGACGCUGCAGUGAACCAUGAUUGCAUCACUGCACUAAAGCCUGGGCAGCAGACUGAAACCCUGUCUCAAACAAAACAAAACAAAAUAAAACAAAGAUAACAAAAAGGUAAUAUUUAUUUGGAAGGUUUUGUGAGUAUUAUUUGGGAUACAUUAUGAAAAGUGCUAGCACAUUAUGAGUAUUCAGUUAUGGUUAGUUAACUUUAUCAUUAAGAUCGUUAUAACCUGUAGGAACUGACCCUGCUACCCCAAUCCUGUCUUUGAAGGAGCAAACCCAUAUGGAAAUAAAAAUGACCGGCUCCCCUCCCUGCCUUGACCUGUCAUUUGAGUCUACCUAAUUAUAAAAUGAACAGGGUUUUAAGUUUUGAACCUAUUCCCUGUCAUGGUGGGUAGAAAAUCAAUCACUACACCCCUAUUUAUAGAACAAUCAGAACAGAGGAAAAGACCCGAUUUUGAAUUCCAGCCAUACAUUAAUUGUGUGCCUUUAGGAAAAUCACUUAAGCCUGUUAACAUUCAUUUUAUUCCACUGAAUAAUAAUACACGAAAGCACUUUAUAUACUUGAAUGAACUAUGCUCAUUUACAGGGUUCUGCGCAUGACACUGCAUCUGUAAAACAGAAACCAACAAAGUGAGGGCAGAAUGAAAAAAAAAACUUCCAGAAUGUUCUUCCUUUCCUCAAUGCCAUGCAGUUUGUGCAGUCAGCUGAUUGGCUGAAAAGAGUCAGUUUUGACGACUGAUGCUUCCUGCUUAUGUUUAGUUGGUUUAGGAAGCUCAUUAGGAUGCUAUCUCGGAGAUGAGUCUGGUGGGUAGAAUAUCUGAUGACUGUAAGGCAAAUGUACUUCCUU